CACGUUUGACCGAGGAAGCUAAGGCUCGGCGAGAUGGAACAAGGUGACCGAGAUACUGGCUAAGCAAAGAAGCAGGUUGUGAAGCCAGGCUCCACUCCGCCACCUCUGGAUGCCCCAGCGCUACCAGCUUGCCUGAGGCCAGCAGCCUGCUGCAAGUUAGACCGCUGACUAGCCAACCGCAGCCAACGUGCAGCCCCUGGAGUUACAGGCAUACUUGAACACAUCCAACUUUUUACAUAAGCCCUGUGGCUCAAACUCAGGUCCUUGUGCUUUCACAGCAAACAUCCCCCCAGCCCUCAUGUCUUAACUUUGUACAACAGUGAGGAAGAGAGAUGAGAGGACCCAGGAGCUGGGAAGCUUCUGACCACCUUGACCUCCUUACGCUCUCCCAGAGGCCAUUGCACCACCCUCAGCACCCUCAUCCAGGAGAAUACCAGAGAAUGGUGUGAGAGUGAGACGGGGUGAGCUCAGUGUCCCUCGUCCUCACAGAGCCAAACCAGACCUGAAGAUGGCCGCCCCUGCCACCCGUUCCCACCCUCUAUGGAGUGACGACUCGCUUCCCCAUUUCUCCAAAGGGAAAACAGAAGCUCAGAGAAGUCAAGAGCCUUGCCCAAAACCACACAGCAGGGAAACAUCAAAAGGUCUGCCAAGGUUCCAAGUGGCAAUAGCCCCAGACCUUCUGGAACCAAGACUUGAAUACGCCCAUUCCAGAGGGACCAGGAGGCUCCAAGCCAGGUCUGCAAGCUAGCUGUGCCUCUGUCUCCCACCAGCUGUAUGACUUUGGACUCAUGACCUCUCCAUGAGUCUGCAUUUCAUCGAUAAAGGGGGAAUGAUUACAGCACCUACCUUGUGAGGUUUUUCAGGGUUAAAUGAACUGGUACUCCUCCCAAACACCUAGACUUGAGCCAGACACAAGAUAAUGUUCAAUGUGUAUUGAGAUGUUGUUACUAAUACUAGAUCACUCUAACCCCAAAUCAUUCUUUACCUGAUCAGACAGCGAGAACCAUCCAUCUAGUGGGCUGGACAUCGCCCCAGGACAAGGCUUUCCCCUCCCCACAAAUGCCCCACAUGGAGAACAGAUAUGUCCCCUAACCUGGGAAGUGCAUGUUCUCACACAUUGUCUUUACUCACUGAGCUGCAUAGGCCUCUCCCGGGCACAUUUCUGAAUGUGCAUUGUACUUGAAUUCU